rnacentral:rRNA from 1 species
CAGCAGUCGCCGCGGUAAUACGGAGGGUGCAAGCGUUAAUCGGAAUUACUGGGCGUAAAGCGCACGCAGGCGGUCUGUCAAGUCAGAUGUGAAAUCCCCGGGCUUAACCUGGGAACUGCAUUUGAAACUGGCAGGCUAGAGUCUUGUAGAGGGGGGUAGAAUUCCAGGUGUAGCGGUGAAAUGCGUAGAGAUCUGGAGGAAUACCGGUGGCGAAGGCGGCCCCCUGGACAAAGACUGACGCUCAGGUGCGAAAGCGUGGGGAGCAAACAGGAUUAGAUACCCCAGUAGUCCCUGUCUCUUAUAC